rfam:Picea glauca, whole genome shotgun sequence.
AAAAAUAAGAGUUUGAUCCUGGCUCAAAACGAACGCUAGUUAUAUGCUUAACAAAUGCAAGUAAAACAUAGUUUGCUUCCCCAUACAUCCAUGUGGGGGCAGAAGGGCAAGAGGAAUGACCCCCUCCUAGCACGUGCUCACUCACUCAAAUGAUAUGCAAGUGGUGUGUCGGGCAUGGGGAACAACAAGCAAAGUGGUGAACGAGUGCGUAAUGCAUGGGAAUCUUCCAAACAGUUCACUCCAAAUCCUGAAUAAUUCAUAAAGCAAGCUAAUUUGCAUUUUUUGAUGAGCCUGAGUAGUAUCAAGUAGUUUGUUAGGUAAAGGAUGACCAAUCCAAUGAUGCUUAGCUGGUCUUUUUGGAUGAUCAACCACAUUGGGACUGAGACAUGACCUAGACUCCCUUGGGGGGAUGCAGUGGGGAAUAUUGGACAAUGGGCUCAUGCCCGAUCCAACAAUAUCGCGUGGGUGAAUAAGGGCAUUGUUGCUUGUCAAGAUAUUUUGUCGAGUUUCGAUCAUGACAGGACUCGAGGAAUAAGCCUUGACUAACUCUAUGUCAACAACCAUGAUAAGACAGGGGGGUAAGUGUUAUUCAAAGUGACUGGGUGUAAAGUGCACGUAGGAGGUGAAAAGGGUGGAAAGUGAAAGUCACCAAAGCACUAGCGGGGUACUUUCUUUACCAUUUCACUUGAGUGAGAUAGGGGAGACUGGAAUUUCAUGUGGAGGGAUCAAAUCCUAAGAUAUAUGAAGGAACACCAACUGCAAAGGCAGCUCUUUGGGUCCCCACUGACGCUGGGGUGCAAAAGCAUAGGGAGAAAACAUGAUCAGAUAACCUGGUAGUCUAUGCCAUAAGUGUUGAGUGUUCGUCCUUGGUAUACUUACCUACUAGGUAGGAUUAGGAUUAGGGGCCCAGCUAAUGCAUGAAACACUUCACCUGGGGAGUACGGUCGCAAGACUGAAACUCAAAGGAAUUGAUGGGGGCCUACACAAGCGGUGGAGCAUGUUGUUUAAUUUGAUACAAUGUGCAGAACCUUACCAGCCCUUGACAUAUGAACAAGUCUGCAUGUCCCUAAUGGGAUGGUGUGAAAAUUCAUACAUGUGUUGUAUGGAUAUCAUCAUCUCGUGUUGUGAGAUGUUUGGGUAAGUCCUAUAAUGAGAAAAACCCUCAUUUUUUGUUGCUGAGACAUGCACCGACAAAUCAAUGUCAUCGUCCCUUCUCAAUGAAUCAAUAGGGUGAGGCAAGCACCUCUUGUUGUUGAGGCAAGCACAAGGCAGAGGAACGAGAAAUAGGAGUCGAAAGUGCACUUAGCAAAAUGUGAAGGAAAAGUGGAUGAUGCACCUAAAUGAGGAGAGAAUCUGAUGAGAAGUCAAGUCAAUGAUGUAGCACCAAAAGAGGAUGGUUGGUUUUGGGGUAUGUGGGGGUAAAUAAAUAUCUUUAUAUUUAUAUACAUAAAUAUAUAUGCUUGGUGGGGUGGGUAGGUGGAUUAUGGUGAUUCAUUUUCAGAACAUGAUGUCAAGAAGGAGUCUAAUGUGGUUCAUUUCUUCUUGAUAGUGAUAGUAUGAUAAAAACACAUGGUUUCUCACGAUAUGGAAUGGAAGUGUUUGGCCCAGUUCCCCCCAAACCCCCAAAAUCCCACCUACCCCAUAUGGCAACUAGGCCUAAU